CGGCGCGGAGCGCGCUGCCGGCGGGCGGGACGGACGGAGGGAAGGGAGGGAGGGAGGCGCUGGCUCCCCUGCCUGGUUUCGGUCCGCCGGUUCCGCGGCGCUGCUCGGGCAGCAGAGCCGCCGCCGAAGCAAAUGGGGAGGCGGCACUGAGCGGGCUGCCCUCCGCGGGAGUCGGCAUCCGAGGGCAGCGGCGCGGCGAGCGAGCAAUGCCCCUCACUUCUCUGCUUGCGCUGCCCUUCCUCCUCCCUCUCCCGGUUCUGAAGCUUUUGUUUUCCCCGACCGCUGUGAUGGCAGGAAACUUCCCGGAGGGAUGGGCUCAGGCCGGGCUUGUGCUGCGCCGGGCUCCGCAGGGCUCCGGCCACACCGUGAGGUUAUUUGGGAAGAGAAUAGUAAUUAGCUGAACAAAACAGCACAAGAUGACUUAUGAUUCCUGUUCGUCAUGGGAACCUGUCUGGAUUGGUACGCUUUGGGUUUUGUGUGUUGGGAUUUUUUUCUUGCUAAACUGACAUAUAGUGAUUGCAUGUGUAAUUCAAAGAUAUGCUUAAAAUUUAGGAAUCCAAUCUUUUAGGAAGCUUUCAACUUGUUAGUUGCAUGUUAAUAACUAGGUAAAGACUAUGAAUUAAAAUAGUAUGUUUUCUACAAUGUUCAAUGUUUGCUGUUGUUCAAGGUACUACAAUUCUCACUCAGCUCUUCAUCGUGAUUAUAGUUAAUGUGACCAUUGAACUAGUGGGAAGGUUAAAAGUCAGGGUAAAUAUGACAGAGCUAGGAAUGAACCUAGAACUGCCCAAAUCCUUUCACAUGAUCUGCAAAUUGAGAACAUAAUUUUUCCCAAGAGCUAAGAAAAUAUAAUUAUUUCUAACAUUUUGAAUAUUUAUGGUUUACAGUAGUGAUAAUGAUUACCAGGACUGACGUUUCUUGACAGUUAAUGGCUCUCUGAAUUAAGGUCAUAAGGAAAUAUCAUCAAGAGGGCAAUUAAUUGUACCAAAUGACCCAAAGCAGAGGUGACUGUUUCCCACAGCACUUUCCUAUGAAAAUUGCCACAGCAGUGUUUAUAGAGUGGAAAGAAGAACAAUUUCCUAAAUUAAAGUAAUGUCUCUUGUGAAUAGUUUUAUGGGUCAUCUACUCAUGCAGUGUAGUUGAUUAGUUUCAAUUUAGGUUAUAGGUAAAUAGGUAUUAAAACUGAAAACUGCUGGUUCCUUUUAGGUGAGUAAGAACAUUGUCCCUGCUGCUUUGUGCUGUGACUCAUUCUUUUCACUGGUGUUAGCAGAAAGGAUUCCAUUGUAACAUGUUCCUGCCUGUGCUUAAUUACAUAGGGAGCAAUGCUUGAUUCAUAUUUAGAGGGGUGUAUGUCCUGGGCUGCUUUGUAUGAUAAUGUGGUGUCAGCAUAUACUUGAGUAUUUU
rnacentral:lncRNA from 1 species